rnacentral:tRNA from 1 species
GCGGGAAUAGCUCAGUAGGUAGAGUACAAUCUUGCCAAGAUUGGGGUCGCGAGUUCGAAUCUCGUUUCCCGCUCAA